CUUCAAGGCUCUGAGUGACAAACAAAGCAACCUAGGGGCUCAGAAAGGCCAGCAUGCCUCCAUCACGUGAAACGUUCGGAGAUGUUAAACAUGUAAGGUGGCGAAUCCCCAAACCGUGACAAGAAAGAGAUUCCAGGCCACUGAUAUACUGCUGACUGCAACAGAUGUUUCAUAGAAAACAAUAAUUUAAAGAAUGGAUAAACACAGAGAGAUGCUCAGGCAGACACACUCUCUAAAGGUGGUUGGCAGGAAGUGUGGUCAACUGUAUAGGAUGGAGAGCCACAUAGCUGAGCAUGAAAAACAACCCUGCGAAGCUGAUGCUAAAACUACCAUCAAAUGGAAGAGGUGAACUACUUGAUGAACCUGAGCACGUAGCCCCAGACCUACUGGAGCCUAAGGAUUGAUAAUGUUAACCCCUGGGACACCUCCCUGUUACCUCACCGUCAACCAGUUGAAGAAUUGUGCACGAGCUGAUCACUUACCCAGGGACGCCCCCUUACCUGACCUUUAAAAGUGCUUUUCUGAAACCCAUCGGGGAGUUUGGAUGUUUUGAGCACGAGCUGGAUUGACACCUUGAAAUAAAUGCUGCACAUUCCUUCAACACAA